rnacentral:rRNA from 1 species
AGUUCGGACUGCAGGCUGCAACUCGCCUGCACGAAGUUGGAAUUGCUAGUAAUCGUGGAUCAGCAUGCCACGGUGAAUACGUUCCCGGGCCUUGUACACACCGCCCGUCACACCAUGGGAGUUGGAAGCACCCGAAGUCGGUGACCUGACCGAAAGGGAGGAGCCGCCGAAGGUGAAGCCAGCGACUGGGGUGAAGUCGUAACAAGGUAUC